rnacentral:rRNA from 1 species
CCUACGGGAGGCAGCAGUGGGGAAUAUUGCACAAUGGGGGCAACCCUGAUGCAGCGACGCCGCGUGAAGGAAGAAGUAUUUCGGUAUGUCAACUUCUAUCAGCAGGGAAGAAAAUGACGGUACCUGACUAAGAAGCCCCUGCUAACUACGUGCCAGCAGCCGCGGUAAUACGUAGGGGGCAAGCGUUCUGCGGAUUUACUGGUUGUAAAGGGAGCGUAGGCGGUGCAGCAAGUCAGACGUGAAAGCCCGGGGCUUAACUCCGGGACUGCUUUUGAAACUGUUGAACUAGAUUGCAGGAGAGGUAGGUAGAAUUCCUAGUGUAGCGGUGAAAUGCGUAGAGAUUAGGAGGAACACCAGUGGCGAAGGCGGCUUACUGGACUGUAAAUGACGCUGAGGUUCGAAAGCGUGGGGAGCAAACAGGAUUAGAUACCCCUGUAGUC